rnacentral:tRNA from 1 species
CGUAGUGUGCCUGAUUAAAGGAUUAUUUUGAUAGAAUAAAUUAUGUGGAAAAAGUUCACCUCUGCGA